UCGCGUCAAGCGCCGCAGGCAGGAGCGGGGGACCCAAGGUAAGUGCCGGGCCCAGCAGUCGAGCUGGAACCGGCUAGGGGUGGAGCCGUGCCUCCCAGGGAGGCGCGGCCGGGCAACUCAACCGGCCCGAACCCGACAGCUCACCUCGCAGGCGUCGGUGAGGGGAUCG
rnacentral:sRNA from 2 species